UACGUAGGGUGCAAGCGUUGUCCGGAAUUAUUGGGCGUAAAGAGCUCGUAGGCGGUCUGUCGCGUCGGCUGUGAAAACUUGGGGCUCAACCCCAAGCCUGCAGUCGAUACGGGCAGACUAGAGUGCGGUAGGGGAGACUGGAAUUCCUGGUGUAGCGGUGAAAUGCGCAGAUAUCUGGAGGAACACCAGUGGCGAAGGCGGCUUCCUGGCCUGUAACUGACGCUGAGACGCGAAAGCGUGGGGAGCGAACCGG
rnacentral:rRNA from 1 species